rnacentral:rRNA from 1 species
UACGUAGGGGGCAAGCGUUGUCCGGAUUUAUUGGGCGUAAAGAGCGUGUAGGCGGCCAUACAGGUCAGCUGUGAAAACUCGAGGCUCAACCUCGAGACGUCGGUUGAAACCGUUUGGCUAGAGUCCGGAAGAGGAGAGUGGAAUUCCCGGUGUAGCGGUGAAAUGCGCAGAUAUCGGGAAGAACACCCGUGGCGAAGGCGGCUCUCUGGGACGGUACUGACGCUGAGACGCGAAAGCGUGGGGAGCGAACAGG